CGUCGCCGCCAGGCGGCUUGGUCAAAUUAAUGUAUUCUGAGUGGUGUUACAUGUGAGUUCAGCGCGAGAUACAUGUUGUGAUUUUUUGUGCGAUCCGUCGUACGACGCGUUGGCGUUUGACUUGCCGCAUACAAUGAUUCGGUACACAAGGAACUGCAGUGGAGCGACCAGCCAUCUCCUCCUCCAACUCGCCAAUGCUCCCAGUGCUCCGCCCAAGCCCAUGGAGCCUGCAAGUCCACAAUAAUGGUUACCUUACUGCUAGGCAGCCAAUAAAAGCAUCGAGGCCUUCCAGCUGUCAAGCUGCCACUACGGAAAGUGCCAAGUCACAUCAGGGACGCAGCCACCACUGUAACUUCUGUGACUAUAAGACUGAUAAUGUAUGUCAUCUGAAAAGACACACCAUGUGCCAUACAGGCGAGCGGCCGUUUGAAUGCCAUUUGUGCCCUCAGAGCUUCGCACAUAAGUUUAAUCUCAAGGUACACCUGCGCACUCACACAGGCGACAAACCGUUUCAGUGCCCUUCAUGCCCUCGGAGCUUCAACGGAAAGGGUAACCUCAACGAACAUCUGCGUACUCACACAGCACAAGUGAAAGGGAUGGCACGCAACUAUUCUGUAUUCCAUCUGCCAAGCGAGAUUCGGCCCAGAGGGAGGUCUGGCUUCGAAGAAUCAGCUGGGGUGAUUUCAACGCAACGCAAUGGUCCCGGCUCUCUGAGGAGCAAUCCUUGUGAAGAGAACUCGCAUGAUGACAUGGGCCUGCUUGGCCUCAGUACGAGUCCCCUCUGUGACAUCCCACUUAUGUGAUCGGUAGGACGAUGUCAGAGGAAUUCAGCAACCCACUGUGCCAACUGUGAAGGAGACCACCCUGUCUACUCGCGAUCCUGCGCCACUGGAAAAAAGAAAAACAAAUAAUGCAACUGAAGUAAGCCUGCCACGGAUGCAUGGUUUGGAACAAUGAAAAUUCCCACAGAAACUGUGCUGGAAGGGCCAUGCCACUCAAACUUUCGACAGAUUACCCAAUACGGCCACGACAUCUUGCGAAGAUCCGCCGCGGCACUCCAGCAGCUCCAGCACUCACUCCUUUGAACCGGCCGCCUGCGAACAAUGUUUCUUGCAGGGUUGCGAAGCAGCAUGUGGUGUCCACAGGAUGACAGUAUAGCUUUGCUGACCUGGCCCUAUUCUCCACCCACUGUAAGACCCGCCGCAGAUGAGUGGUUUGGAACAGUGAAAAUUCCACAGAAACUGUAGUGAAGAGACCAGCCAGCUCCUCCAGCUCCCAACUCUUCCAGUGCUCUGCCCAAACCCAUGGAGCAUGGAGGACUUCCAGCAGUCAAGCUGCAACUAUGAAAGGUGACAAGUCACGUCAGGGACGCUGCCACCACUGUAACUUCUGUGACUAUAAGACUGAUAGUGUAUGUCACCUGAAAAGACACACCAUGGCCCAUACAGGC